rnacentral:rRNA from 1 species
AUACGGAGGAUCCGAGCGUUAUCCGGAUUUAUUGGGUUUAAAGGGAGCGUAGGUGGACAGUUAAGUCAGUUGUGAAAGUUUGCGGCUCAACCGUAAAAUUGCAGUUGAUACUGGCUGUCUUGAGUACAGUAGAGGUGGGCGGAAUUCGUGGUGUAGCGGUGAAAUGCUUAGAUAUCACGAAGAACUCCGAUUGCGAAGGCAGCUCGCUAGACUGUUACUGACACUGAUUCUCGAAAGUGUGGGUAUCAAACAGGAUUAGAUACCCUGGUAGUCCACACAGUAAACGAUGAAUACUCGCUGUUUGCGAUAUACAGUAAGCGGCCAAGCGAAAGCAUUAAGUAUUCCACCUGGGGAGUACGCCGGCAACGGUGAAACUCAAAGGAAUUGACGGGG